GUUGGUUUGAGUGGGGCACUGGAAACACUGCGGACAAGGAUUUGGUGCAAAGGAAUACCAAAUGCUGGGAAUUUACCUACAAGGCUCUUGCAUCAUAUCUCUUAUUUUUUCAAUCAUUAUAUCCAUUAUUUGGUUCUAUACAGAGCCCAUCCUAGUGUUACUUCAUCAAUCUCCCGACAUUGCAAGAACAGCUGCACUUUAUAUGAAGUUUCUUAUCCCGGGAGUGUUUGCAUAUAGCUUCUUGCAAAAUAUCUCGAGGUUUCUCCAGACACAAUCUGUGGUAAUGCCAUUGGUUGCACUCUCAGCUCUUCCACUGUUGAUCCAUAUUGGUAUUGCAUAUGGCUUGGUUCAGUGGCCAGGUCUGAGUUUUGCAGGCAUGGCAAGGAUUUUCAAUGCAUUCAUUCCAUUACGUAUUUACAAACAUGAAACUGGCCCUGCCCUCUGCUGCAAUGGUAUGUUUGGAGUAUUGGGCUUUUGGUUUUGGUUUUCUUGGCUGGACUGUUGCCUGACUCUCAGAUAACAACUUCGUUGAUUGCAAUAUGUUUAAACACUCAAUUCAUAGCGCACAUGGUCCCUGUUGGUCUCGGUGCGGCUGAAAGGUUAGUUGGUCGAACACAUUCUCCUUUGCUUGCAUUGUUGCAUUUCUUCUGAAUCAACAUUCUAGUACAUGUAUUGAAAAGUUCAAAUUAAAGAGGAGUUUGCUUCAGUGACACCCUUGCUUGCCAUUUCCAUAGUACUAGAUGCUGUCGAAGGUGUCAUACAAGGUUUGAAUUCCUCAUAUCUUUUAACCCGCUUUAUCUUUUCAACUUGAACAUCAUUCACUUUAAAUUCUUGGUGUGAAAAUUGUGCUUAAUACUACAGGGGUGGCCAGAGGAUGUGGUUGGCAGCACUCAACUGUUUAUAUUAAAUAUUUUGCACAUUCUAAAAAUCUGAUAUCUUGAUUUUGAGUCUUUUUUUCAUUUGUAAUUUUUCAUUAUUAUGUUUGUCUUGAAUUUGCUUUAUGAUAUAGGGUUUAUGGAUUGGUCUAAUUUGUGGGCAGCUCUGUCAAGUUGGGACACUCUUCCUUUUCUUAAGGCGUGCCAAAUGGACUAAAUUGAAUCUCUCUGGGGUCAAAGAUAAAGAGCAUCCUCUCGUUGUUUAACUGAAUGUCUGCCAAUCUGGCACUGCAUUUAUGAACAAAGGAUGAUCACAGAAUGGGGUAAACAUGAUUUUGGUAAAAUGUUUCUACUUUUUUGCUUAUAGUUGCUAUUCAUUUUGAGAAAGUACAAAUACUUUACCUUUUUUUGGAGUAUUUGUGAGGUGCAGACAGUAAAUCUUGAUAUAUAAUGUAACAAACUCUCCAUUUAGGUGGUUUUUAUUCCACAAUCUCACAAGAACUCAUUUAGAGGAGAUAGGCAGAAAUAUAUCUUAACAUAAAAGAAUACUAUCAAUUUAGCACUUAAGUGGAAUUAACCUUGGAAAAUCAUUUGAUUGAUGAGAGAUUAAUUUCUCGCAUAAGUGGGACCUUCCUCAAAAAUAUUUUUUUCCCCACAUGCUUCACUUGAACUUACAUUUUAAAUGAAGAAAUCUCUUUCUUGAAUAUUUGACUUAACUAGCGUACCCCAUUGCCCAGAGGCUCUUCGCUAUGCGAAGGUAUGGGGGAGGGAUAUUGUACGCAGCCUUACCCUUGCAUAUGCAAAGAGGCUGUUUCCGGAUUCUUGAAUAUUUGACUUAUCAGGGAAAAAAUAUGUUAUUGACACAUAGUCCUUGCCAAUCUACUGCUCCUUUAUCUUGUCUGAUGAAAGGGUUUAACACAGGAUGAAAUGAAGAGGAGGUUUGGUUCAGGUAGGUUACUGAAUGGACUCUACCGACUGAAAGGAACUAUUGCACAACAUUCACAACACCCACCAAAGACUGUAAGAAAUGAAAAUUGUAAUAAAAUUUGUCACAUUGUUUCCAUUCGGGAUUCGGCUCUAAAGCAUUUUAGAUUUGGUCACACUUAGCUAGGCCUGAAACUUUAAGCAAUUUGUACCCUGUAAUUCAUGUGAAUAAGAAUUCAUUUUGUGACA